rnacentral:lncRNA from 1 species
CUUCUUUUCUUUCAUAUUUUUUUAUCUCAACUCUUAAAAAUUACUUGUUCUUGCCUUUUUCUUCUAUAUUUGAUUCCUUAGUAUAAUCAUUUAUUUUGAAGGAAAUUCUUCACUGUUGCUCCCCUAAUGACUCAGACAGUAAAGAAUUCACCUGUGAUGUGGAAGACCUGAAUUUGACCCCUGGAUUGGGAAGAUCCCCUGGAGGAGGGCAUGGCAACCCACUCUAGCAUUCUUGCCUGGAGAAUCCCCAUGAACAGAGGAGCCUGGUGGGCGACAGUCCAUGGAGUCACAAAAAGUCAGACUUGACUGAGUGACUGAGCACUCUACAGGAGAUAGGCCGUCUUUCCAUUUAGUCCAUCAUAUUCAGAAUACUGAAAGUAGAAUCAAAUCACUUUCUGAUUUCUUAAUUGAGCUGCUUGUUCCUUUCUCAUUUCACAGAACAGGAAGUUCCUCACAUGUUCUCAUCAAGAACAGAGUUGCCAGAGUUGUCCAUCUGGUUUGUAAAGAUGCAGGAUGGUCUCAGAACCUGAAGCAAGCUGGAGAGACCUCCAAAGACAUAAUUUAAAGCCACACUCUGAAAAUAACAGAGCAAAUGGGAAAGGCCUGUUCUCCACUGAGUUUUCAGUCCUGGGAACUGAGCUAAAAAAGAUUGUGGCCUCUUCAAACCUCAACACCAGUCUCAACCAGAAAGAUGAAAUAAAUAUUUCUCAUUCAGGCCCCACCAGUUUCCAGAUUGCAAGAAAGAACAUGCUUCUCUGGAGUAAAGGAUAAAUUCAGUAGGCCUGGGUUGUCUAAAACCUGCAUGUUCCAAAGAAAGAUUUGACCCUUGCCAGGCUCCCAGAAGUUAACCUCUGAGUUUUUGGAAUAUUGUGACUGAUAAAAGCUCAGUUUUUACAUGGGGCUUUGGUACACUUGACAGCAGUUUGACAUCUGAGAGACUAAGUAACUAAGGUCAGCCAUGUCACUCCUUUUCUAAAUGACUGAUCCUGAAUAAAAACUCUGGACACCCGGCUCA